UGGGGGUUGGGGGAUGGGGGAUGUGGAUUCUUUUAAGAAUGUGGAUAUUUGGGUCAUCUUUGGCGCCCCCUAGAACGUAAACCGUGGGGUGCAGCGUCAUGAUUUUUACAACUUUGAAUGGCCAUGGGGUGUAGAUUGGCCUGAGCAAAUUUGGUGUCAGUGGGACGAAAGCCUUAGGAGGAGUUAGCCACAUUCCAAUGUGUGCGAAUCGGCAAAAAAUGCAAAAUAGCCCUUUAACCGUACAUUUUACAGAUACGCGCGCAUUGACUUUUUCGUAGAUCUUAUUGAGAUACAUGUGAUUGUCAAAUUUUGUGUCAAUAUGACAAAGCGUACAGGUAUGACAGUCAACAAUGUGUUUUUUCAUCUUAUGGGACAAGAAAAAAUGGACUUUUUUCUCCUGCCAUGGGGGGGCGCUCUUUUGGGGAUUAAAAAUUCCUUCACAAAUGUGUUGAUGGCUGGACAUUGCAUCAUCCUAGAAAAUUUGGAGGCCAGUGAGGGCAAAAAUAAAAAGUUAUAAGACUUUGAAAUAUGUGGAUUUUAGGGUUAUCUUUGGCGCCCCCUAGAACCUAAACCGUGGGGUCUAGCGUCAUGAUUUGAAUAACUUUUAAUGGCCAUGGGGUGUAGAUUGGCCUGAGCAAAUGUGGUGCCGGUGGAACGAAAGCCUUCGGAGGAGUUAGCGAAAUUCCAAUGUGUGCGGAUCGGCAAAAAAUGCGAA